AGAAGUAGCUUGCUACUUCGGCGUCGAGCGGCGGACGGGUGAGUAAUGCCUGGGAAAUUGCCUUGAUGUGGGGGAUAACCAUUGGAAACGAUGGCUAAUACCGCAUAAUGCUUUUGUUUGUAAUGAACGGGAGCCAAAGAGGGGGACCUUCGGGCCUCUCGCGUCAAGAUAUGCCCAGGUGGGAUUAGCUAGUUGGUGAGGUAAUGGCUCACCAAGGCGACGAUCCCUAGCUGGUCUGAGAGGAUGAUCAGCCACACUGGAACUGAGACACGGUCCAGACUCCUACGGGAGGCAGCAGUGGGGAAUAUUGCACAAUGGGCGCAAGCCUGAUGCAGCCAUGCCGCGUGUAUGAAGAAGGCCUUCGGGUUGUAAAGUACUUUCAGCAGUGAGGAAGGUGGAUGUGUUAAUAGCACAUUCACUUGACGUUAGCUGCAGAAGAAGCACCGGCUAACUCCGUGCCAGCAGCCGCGGUAAUACGGAGGGUGCGAGCGUUAAUCGGAAUUACUGGGCGUAAAGCGCAUGCAGGUGGAUGAUUAAGUCAGAUGUGAAAGCCCGGGGCUCAACCUCGGAAUAGCAUUUGAAACUGGUCAUCUAGAGUACUGUAGAGGGGGGUAGAAUUUC
rnacentral:rRNA from 1 species